AAAGCCUUAGCCGACUUAGGAUAUAGAUAAAUUCUUUUUCCUAUGUUUUAGUAGUUUUUCUAUUUCCUCUUGGAUAAGGAUAUGUAUACUUUCCUUUUAUGUUUAUCUUGUAAUCCUUAUAUAAGGAAUCCCCUUUGUUCGUUAAUAAUAACACAGAAAUAUUCAGUCUCUAAACUCUCUAAUUACAAUAUGUUAUCAGCACGAUAGACUCCCAAAACCCUGAGAAAAAAAAACCCCU
rnacentral:lncRNA from 1 species